CUCUCUCAUUCUCUCCUUCUCAUCAACAUCGCCGUCACCCAGUGAACCCACUCUCUCUCAAAUCUCCAGGCGAGUCCACAGCCACAGCCACACGGCCACAGCCUUGUCGCCGCCGCCCUCAACUCCUCUAGUCGUCACUCUCACCGAUCGGCACAGCCAACACUCACGGCCUCACUGCUUCGCCGCCUCCCCCCUUAAUCGCUCCCAUUUUCCCUCCUCCUUGCGCCUAAUAUGUUCUUCUCUCUCUUUUUUUUUUGCCAUUCUUGUUUGGGUUCGUUAGGAUUUGGGACCUUUGGGAUCGUUAGGGUUUGGGUUCCAAUUUUUUUUUUUUUGAGAAUCUGGUUUGGGUUCCUAUUAGGUUUGGGUUCGUUGCCAUUCCUGUUUCUCAAUGAUAUGUUCUUCACUCUUUUUUUUUUUGUGAUUUCUGUGUUUGUGUUUGUGAUUUUGAAAAGGGAAAGUAUAAAUCUAAAAUUUUUGUGUUUGAGUUUAUGUUAGGAUUUGUGUUUGUGUUUGUGAUUUUGAAAGGGAAAAUAAAAAAUCUGAAAUUUUUGUGUUUGUGUUUGGGGUUUUGGUGGCUGCUCUGGUCCGAUUGAAGAACAUGAUCUUAGGGUUUUUGUUUUUGGGUUUCUGAUCUAGGUUGAUGAACAUGAUUUUGGGGUUUUUGUUUUUGGGUUUCUGAUCUAGAUUGAUGAACAUGAUCUUGGCAUCUUGGGGGUUUUUUUGGGUUUCUGAUCUAGGUCCGUUUGUGGAGGUUUUGGGCUUCAGGCCAUUUUUUUUUUCAUUGGGCCACGGAUUAGGCCCUGAAGUGGCAUGGGCUGGGCGGGGCCCGUGGGACCCGGCGGGCGGGUCUGGGCCCCGCAUAAAAAACCCCUUUAUUAAACGGGCCGGGUUCGGGUUUUGGAGCAGGCUCGCGAGUCGGGUUCGGAUAUGGAAAAACCCGGCUCGAAUCCGACCCGUUACCAUUCCUAUUUAAGAGCCAAAAAUUAUAAUUUUCCAUUACGUUAAACACUGUUUGGAGCAGUGUUGGUAUAAAAGAAAACUAACCGCUUAAGACAAAAAAAAAAAAAAAAAGAUCGCUACACGGAGAAAGGAGAAAGAGAGACCGAGAGAAAAGAGAGACAGAGAAAUAGAGAGGCAGAGAACGGAGAAGGAGAGAGAGAUCGAGAGAUAAAAACUGCGGUUUGCAUGUCUCUCAUUUCCUGUCAAAUUUUCUGCCAUCACCGUAAGCCUCCACUCGCUACCCGACCAUCGGAAUCGCUACUUAUUUGGUUUUGAUUAAGGGAUACGAAGAUAGAGGAACCAAGCAGAGUUCGUAGCGAUACAGAGAAAGGGAAGGAGACAAAAAAAAGUUUGCGGCAUAGUGGAGAUUCGACUGAAACUGAAAGGUCAAGAAGGAUUGCCCAAAUUUCCUUUUGUUGGAUUUAUAUUUUGGAAACCGAAACAUUUAGAAUCACCGAAACAUUUAGAAUCAACAUUAAGAGAAAGUUGGUAACUGUAAGUCACGCACAAAGACGAAGAGAUGGACAAAGAGAAAGAGGAAACAGAGUAUUUCCACCCAUCAGCAGGUAAAGCUUUUAAAUAAAAAAAACAAAUUCGGCUUUAAAGUCUAGAAUUUGGGUUGGAAUCCGUUUGAACUAAAGUCUUUUGGUUAGAAUCAAAUAAUUGCUUUAAGAGAUUUAUUUUAUUUUGGGUAUUUGUGUUAGAUUUAAUUUUGUUUAGGGUAUUUGUUUUUAUAAAACAUCAAUUGACUCAAAUUUAAACUUCGCUUUUAAGAUAAUGUGGUGUUGAAGAACUCAUGUGGCUAACAUGUUUUAUUCUUUACAAAUUCUCAUCACAGUUUUAAAAAAAUCAUGUGGGUUGCAUGUUUUGUUCAUUAAGAAUGAUACUGCAGUCCCAUGGUUUUUCCUAUAUUUGCUAGGGAUUGACAAGUGAUAUUUUAAUUAGUUCAUGCAUGUGAUUUGUAUAGUGUAUAUUAGGUUAUAGUACCUUGGUAUCUACAGAAAGUUUUUUGUUAUGUUCUAUAAUUUCACAGCUUUAACACGAGUUCCUUUUCUCCCCUACUUGGAUCAAGCCACAUUGGUUUUUGGUGGACUUAGGAAGAAUUUUGCAGGGGUGGGUCAUUUGAAUUAAGCAUAUAAUACAAAGUUUAAUUUAUUAUCUAUGUUUUUUUUUUUUGGGGG